CGGGACGGGUGAGUAAUGCUUGGGAAUCUAGCUUAUGGAGGGGGAUAACUACGGGAAACUGUAGCUAAUACCGCGUAAUAUCGAAAGAUUAAAGUGUGGGACCUUCGGGCCACAUGCCAUAGGAUGAGCCCAAGUGGGAUUAGGUAGUUGGUGAGGUAAAGGCUCACCAAGCCGACGAUCUCUAGCUGGUCUGAGAGGAUGACCAGCCACACUGGGACUGAGACACGGCCCAG
rnacentral:rRNA from 1 species